CUUAUAUUGUGAACAAUGUAUUUUUUCCUGUAUAUACCAACUAUUAUAUAACUGCUUCAUUUUGUCAUUCUCCAAUAUUUUAUUUUGUGCAUGUGUCUGACUGGAGUACUUGGUUCCCAGGCAUAAUGAGGAGAGACAACAACACUGUGAUGAACAGGUAAACUGUCCAAAGGGUGGAGUCAUGUUACACUACAGAAACCAGAGACAUGGCAUUCUCUGUCAGACAAGGCUACGUCCUUAUAUCAGUGGUGUGAAUGUGUUGAGUCACAGUGCAAAGUAGAGUGCUGGUUCAAAUGGACCCUUUUCAUGUCCUCAUCUCAAACCGUACAGAAACACCUUCUGUGUGACUGAACCUCCACACAACCUACUGCUGAACACCAAGGUUCCAGUGGAUCUGAAGGGUUUCAGCUAGAGAAGUCGAAUCCUCCAACCAUCUAUUUCUGGAACAUCUGUUUCCAAAAAUUGCAGUUAUUUUGCAACUCUACUACCUUCCCUGAACAAGCACUUCAUCUGAAUUCAACAUCCCCAGUUUAUUACAGCAUCCUCUACCACAAUAAACUGUCUGUUAAUGUGUCCAUCUAUCCUGUAAAUGUUGGGCUGUUGGUAAAAGGAUAUGAUUGUACAAUAAGCUUCUUAAGUAUGUUUGUAUAUGGAAAUUAGCUUUAAAAAUGCAUUUAUUUAUUUUCUUUCUGUUGUAUCCUGAGCAUUGUUCUGAAGCGAAUAGGGAGGGGCUGUAGGCAGGGGGAGUGGCUAUUUGUCAAGGGGGAGGAGAAAUGGAUGGGGGUGUAAGACUGACAAGUAUACAUACAUAGAGACAGACACACGGCCACAGAGACAGACAGAGGUUACAUACAUAGAGACAGACACACGGCCACAGAGACAGACAGAGGUUACAUGGUAUUUAGAUACAGGGACUCUUGUCACUAGUGAUGAGAGCUGGUAUUCCUGUAAGAAAACAUUCUUAGAAAUUAGUUAAUGUGAUGUUUCCUGAGCCCUUUCUCCUCAUGUACACUGUGCUUAAAAUGACAAUAAGACAAUAAAACCGGC
ensembl:lncRNA